UUGAAACAAUGGUUCUCGUACUGAUCACCGAAGUUAAGUAACAUUGUGCCUGUUCAAUACCUAGAUGGGUGACAGCUUGGGAAUACCAAGUGCUGUAAG